rnacentral:tRNA from 1 species
GCCCAGGUGGUGGAAUUGGUAGACACGCUACUUUGAGGUGGUAGUGGGAGAAAUCCUGUGCAAGUUCGACUCUUGUCCUGGGCA